CAUGUGUAUGAUUUCUUACUUUCUAAAAAUAUAGUUUACAAGUUUAUUCCAGAUCCUCAAAUCUAUGAUUCUAAACAAGAAGAGGUAGAAAAGAAGACAAAUAUGGGAUAGGGGGACCGUUUUUCUCAAGGGUCAUUGGUUUUCUGACCGAGAGUAGAAAAUAGGAAUGUGUAGAAGCUAAGUGGGAGCUGGCCAUUUAUUGUGGAGGCCAGAGGAGAAGUGACAGGCAGACAUUGCUUUAGCCUUCAGGCCUGGAGCAUCUUUGCCCUCUUGUAUCUUUCAAAGGCUGCAAAUAAGACUUCAUGUGGAAAAAGGGACUGCCAAGAUUCUAAAUUUUGACCAGCUUUAAGGAAAGAAUUCUGGAAUGCUAGAUUGAGUCAUUAUUAGCUUCCUUAUCAUCAAAUUCAUUCUGUGCCACAACAGGAUCUUUAGCACUGAGUCAGAAGUAUAAGGAGCAGGAAGAAUAGUUUUCUCCUUAAUAAGGGCUCAUCAAUUCUCUCACAAAAUAGGACUCUGUGCUCCUUGGCAUGACUAGCACUGAGGAGGUGGCUUUCAACAGUUCCUUUAUUUGCCCCACUCACCAUCAUCAUGGUGCUCUGUGAGAUAGGAAAUAGGCAGUGAGCAUCACAACAGUCUCUCGCUUGGCUUGAUGUCUAAGAUGUGCAUGUCCAUAGUCAAGUUGAAUGUUCUGAAAACUAUAAGCUCACUGAGGAAGGUUUUGCUCCUCAGAAAGGUAAGACCUAAGUUUUCUAGCUACCCUGUCUGACUGCACAUAUUUCCGCAGUCCUCUGUUCUCACAGGUCCCAAUACUAGAAAGGGCAAAGAAGUCUGGUAAUCUGAUUUUGGCUAUACCCAUGAGCUCACCACAAAAUUGGCUUUAAGAAAAUGCUAUGUGUUUUUAUCAUUAACUGUUAUGUAUGUGUAAGCUUGUUCAUGGGUAGAAAGGUAGCAAUUAAUACCCUAAGAUCUUUAGAAAUAGCUUGACCAACACUGUCCUGUGUAAGUGCUGAAAAUAUUAUCUACUACUCAGUGUGUUGCUAUAGAGAUUAAAUACAAAACUAGCUACAAUAGAUAGGACUCUAAUAAUUAUCACACAGCAGGUGAUAAUGUGAAAAUAAUCCAAAAAUUUCCUAGUAGGGUCUUUUGCCAUGUAGACCUCCAUUUCCAAGAAUUCUCCCUAAAGCAGACUUAGAACUCACCACUGCAUAUGAUAUCUCGUGCAACCUUCUCUGUGUUUGAUAGAAAAGUUUGAUGUGAACACAACUUUGGGGUAUUUUGCACUUCAUAAAACUUCAUUUUUACAUUUUAUGUUUAUUAGCGUAUAGAGGAUGCUAAAUAUUUUAAGUGCAUGCCAUAAUCGGUACCAAGUUUGAUUAAAGAAAGACUCGGCAUUUGCAUUUCUUUCCUUGUAUAUUGUACACAUGUAUAAAGAAAGCACACAUGUCAAUCUGAUAAGAAAACGAACUCCACCCCACAUAUGACCAUCUCAUUGUAGCAGCAGCAGCAGCAGCAGCAGCAGCAGCAGCAGCAGCAGCAGCAGCAGCAGCAAGAGAAACCUCUGAGCACAAGGCUGGAAACAAACAGCACCAACAGAUGUGGUUUUGGUGAUGGUUCAUUGAACAGCUCGCAGCACAUUUCUUUUGCACAGUAAAAAAUAGUUUUCAUAUUUCCUUUGUUUCCCUCAAGGGUCCUUGAAAUCCAAUGCAUAAAGCAAGAGGGGGUUAGUGUUUACUUAAGUGAAAACUGGGUCUCUUUGGGUAUCUAAACAUAAUUCUAAGGAUCAUGAGGCCAUUCCCAAAGCAGAGAUGCUAUCAAAGGCAUUUUAAAAUCCUUCCCCAAGUAGAAAAAAUCAAAUACUCCUGAAACAUCUUCCCAAUUUAUCACGUAUGCUGUUAAAGUGAAAAAGUAACGUGAUACCACGAGCCAUUGAUUCUCUAAAAAGAAAACACAAUAGAGAAGAAAAGAAGCAUAUAUUCUUCAAAUAACCUACAAUCAAGAAGUCUAGAAGUACACCUGGGCAAACAUUGGCUAAUGGAGUUCAGGGACCCAUCUUUCUCAUUCAGAGGAUGGGAGGUAGCAGCAACAGUUGCUGGCAUUCAUAGUAACCACCUCUUUUUCUUUACAUCUGUGAACACCAGGAUUGGUUCAGUUCAGGUGAGUUGUUCAAGGUUGUACAGCUAAUAUAGUUGGGGUGAUCUGCAGCCUCUGUCUCUCUUUCCAGUGCUCAGUGAACUCUUCCGAACAUUUAGUUGUCUCUGGUCACUCAUACCAUCAUAUGCACCUGACUUAGCUUGGAGGACUAUGCUCUUGGAGGUUUGCUGACUCCCUAGCAGCAUGCAGUCCAUUAGAGCAGUGGUUCUCAACCUGUGGGUUGCAACCCCUUUGGAGGGGUUGUCAAACAACCCUUUCACAGAGAGAUAUCCUGAAUAUCAGAUAUUUACACCGUGAUUCAUAACAGUAGCGAAACUAUAGUUAUGAGGUAGCAAGGAUAUAAUUUUAUGGUUGGGGAUGUUAUCACAAUAUGAGGAACUGCAUUAAAGGGUGGCAGCAUUAGGAAGGUUGAGAACCACUCUGUUAGAAGGUCUCAGUGGAUUAUGUGUAAAUGUGGAAAGCUUGUGGGUAGAAAGAAAACAUGUGGACUUAUAGUUAAACAAGAGCUCCAAACAGUUAGUGCUUCCAAGGAAAUUAUGUGAAAUGGCCUAAGCCAAAAGUUGAGUGUACUAUCUAGCCCGCAUUUAGUUCAUUAUUUGUUACUUUCUUUGUAGCCAUUCGACUGUGUAUAUAUUCUGCAGAAAACUAGUUUUUUAAAUUUACUUUAUGAGAAAAGAAGGAGAAAAAGACAUAAAAAUUUUCUCAUUCAGUGGGUGAUAUACAUUGCUUUCUCUAAGAUAAACGAGGCUAAUUUGCUUUGCCUCUUUUUCCUCUUCUAAAACAGAGAAUGCUGGAAGUAAAAGGACAUUUUUGCAGAAAGCCAAAUCAACAUGGACAGCAGGUAUACAUUAUGCUGAUCCUAAUACAGUAGUGAGUGCUUCUGAAGACAAGGGCUGGCCAAAGGCAUAAAUCAAUGCCACAAUCUAUGUAUGGGUAAGGAUUAAAAAUAUCAUUUGAUACUAAUGAACAAUAGAAACGUUUAUAUGUAUGCACAGUGCAUGCUAAACACCUUGGCUUCAUAUGUGAAAAUGACUUAAAUUACUCUUCGUUAAUGGCUGUUAAUCUCUGAAUACAGUUCUGCUUUUAGCAUUACUUUUCUUGAGAAUUCUUUAUGCUUCAUUAGCAUUUUAACCCCUAGCUCGUAGACGAUAAAACAUGUUAGUAGAAUAAUAAAUUGUUUACCAUAGUUUGUCAGCUAGUUGAGGUAAGUCAAAGCACCUCUUUCAGACAUAAUUUUAUCUCAACAUUUAGGGUGAAUCUGCUUGCAGGGCUACCAAAAAAUUACUGUAUUUUCCAGGUUGAAAUAUCUGGUUGACACAAGGCAGAACUAGUUACAGGGGUGGAAUUCAUUUCUCUGCAAAGAAGUGGUGAUAUCCCCAGUCACUCGCUCUCCAAAUCUACCUGGUGCAGGGAGGGUAUCAAGAAAUCAAGAGCUGUCAUCUCUGAUCUCUGGGGCUUCUCUAUUCUAAGGAAGAAAAAUGUGUAGCUAGGUAAUUAUAAAGCUACGCUAUAAACCUUCGAGGGAGGUGGAAGUCGUAAACUGAUAAACAGAAGGAAAAUUCUAAAAGUAGGGGCUGGGGAACUAACCUAUAUCCUACUUUAUUCUGAAUCUCUGACUAAUGGCCCACAAUGGGGAGUUUUCAGGGGAUGAAAGUGCAAAAAUACUGCAUUUUUCUCUCCUGGUCACCUUGGUUUUGCAUGCUCCAUGAAUUUCAGAUUGAAGAGUAGGUUUUCUGGCCUAGAAGGUACCAAGAUUCUUGACACUUCAGUCUUUCCCCUUGGUAAGAAGUGGUUUACACAGGCAGGUAUCCCUACGAAGGUGAAUGCUGAAAUACAAAACUAUAAUAAAGGGAUUAUAUAUUGUCUUGUGGUUACCAUGUAAAUGAAGACGAAUUUACCCAAAGGCAUAUCUUAGUUAUUUAUUUAGUCUAAGUGACUAAGUAUGUUUCUUAAUAUACUCAUUUUUGAUAAAGUGGCCUUGCUGUAGGUAGAUACUGACCAGUACAGGAAGCCUUAGGUCAAUUGCGUAUGUCGAAUUUUUUUUAAUGUGUGUGCAUAUGCCUGGACAUGCAUGGGUGUUCAUGCAUUUGGGUGCUUAUAUGUUUCGAGGCCAGAAGAUAGCCCCAGAAGCCAGGACUCACGUAUAACAUCUGCUUCAUUUCAGUCAGGGUUUCUUGAUGGCAUAGGGCUCCUCAUUAGGAUGGUCUAGCUGGUCAGUCCUUUUGUCUCUGUCUUCCCAGCACUGAGACCACAGGCAUGGGCGACCAUGCCUUGUUUUUCGUGUGGGUUCUGGAGAUUAAAUUUAGGUCCUUCAGCUUGCAAGACAAACAACUUUAUUUGCUGCACCAACCUUAUAACCUCCAUGUUCUCUCCUAAGUUAGGUUAAAAGAAAGAGAUCCUGUUUAAAACAUGUCUCCUAAAGUACUUCUGUCUGGAUAGGGUAUGCUCAACAUGUCAUACUGAGAGCAGAAACAUUUAUUUUAUUAACGACUGUGUCUGCAGAACCAAUGUAGUGUGUUUUGGGUAAAUGGUAGCUUGUUCAAAAAAAAAGUUUGAUGAAUUAAGGAAUGAAUGAAUGAAUGUGUUACAGUAACUGCUGAUGUUGUUUGAGGAGUAUAUGGACAGUCAAGUUAGAAAAUCCCAUUACGUUUAACAAUUUCUCAAACAUAAAUCAGGAAUAUGAUUUUGAUUUCUUGUAAAAAUCCUCUCAUGAAUUUAUAAGAGACUUCUCAUUAAAAUAAAAGACAUCAUUUGACAGGACUACCUCAUAUGAAAAUAGUUUACUGAUGUCCUUCCCAGCAGCUUUCUGGCAUUUAUUUCCCUCUACUUUCCAUUUACCAAUUAAAAAA